AUUCAGGCAUCUUGCCCGGGUCAGUGCCAGGAACGACCAGCUCUAUGGAGCGGGCAGGAGGCUCCAGUGAAGGCAUGGGGAGUACCCAUGCCCACCCCAGAACCACGCCCAACCCAGAACUAACUCCAGGGCUUCCUGCUGCCUCCAGGGACAGUGAAACAUCAGGGAGGUGGGGCACCGAACCCACAGCCUUAUGUGUGGGAGACAACUGUUCUACUACCCAGCUGCACUCCCAAGGCCAAGUCAGCAUUUUAAAUAAAGUUACUACUCAUUCCAUCCUCCCUAGCAUGUCACCUGGGGUUUCAGGACUAAGCACACAGCACACUUGGCAGGAUGAUACCCCCAAAUCAGACAGGAAAGGCUCAUCCAGGCAGCGGUGUGCUGGAGAGAGCAAGACUGGAAUCAGAUCAGUGUGCCCCUUGGAGAUCAGUGACCUGAGUCUCCUGAAAGUGUUGGCAACUACAGGUCAAUGAAUUGUUUUUCUUGGGCACAGUGAGGACAGGCUAAAGAGAACUACGACAUGAGGACUGAGACCGACCUCUAUGUACAGCCUACAUCACCCAGGCCCCUCCACUUGCAUCUUGUGCAUUUGGGCACCAGGGCUGUCUUCUGUGGCAACGGCUCCUCUGUGCCUGUUUCCUACUGGGCUCAGCACCCUGCCUCCAGAGCCAAGUCCGACCAAGCACGAUGGCCAGGGCUGCUGCCUGCAGCCUCUGUUGCACAGAAAGCCACCAGCUGUCAUGGAGGAGUGGGCAGGACACACCCAUUGCUGUGGAGGAGCAUGGUUUGGUCUGGACAGGCUGCCUGAUGGUUCCUGGCUUUAAAUCCUCAGCAUUAACUCUAAUUUGCCUUAUUUUUCACGAUUGUACUACAAACCUCUUAUUGGUUCUAUCUGCAAACUCAGAGUUAGUGUGUAGUGCAAGAUCAUGCUAAUGAAGUGUUAAGGCCAGGACUUGAACCAAGAUUCUGACUUCAAA